rnacentral:lncRNA from 1 species
UGGAAGGUGAUUUUGGUCUCGAGACCAGCAUGAGGUAGAAAAGACCAUGCCAAUAUUUAGCCAAGGAAUUGUCACUCCAGGCACAGCACCAAGAUGUCGCAGGAUGGAUCCUGUAUUAUUAGGAAGGACUGUGAGGUUCCACCCAUGCCUAGAAAAUGGUUCAGAUUUCCCCACAGGAAAGCCGCUCCCAUGGGUGUUGGUAUCUACUUUUCCACAAUGCACUGCUACAUGGCUAUCUUUCUGUUCCACUAACCGCCAAUAUUCUUGCUCUACUUCAGCUACUGUAGGCUCCUUCGUGAAGCACAUGUUCAUGAUGUUUCUUGCUGUUCGGUAGAAGGUUGUUAAAGAAACAGACCUACCCUUGUAUAUACACUUGUGUAAGUCACUAAGAACUCCCUCCUCCUCUUCCUCCUCGUCAUCCUUUGUGGUCUCCUUUUCCUGAGCGAAGAGCCGCCGCCUGCCCGUCUUCAGUGGGACGUCGACCUCUUUUAACUUGUUGCGGAAGCCAUUUUUGUGAACCACGCCGUUGAUGAGUCCGUUUUUGGGCUCAAACCGGGGCAAGGAAUGGAACUUGUAGGCAUUCUCCGAAUGUCCCUCCAAAGGUCCUUUCCUCUUCUCCAAGAUUUCUUU